GUGCACAUAGCUCAAUGGUAGAGCGCACGUUUCCUAAACUUGCGACGAGAGUUCAAUUCUCUCUGUGUACA
rnacentral:tRNA from 1 species